rnacentral:rRNA from 1 species
AGGACGAACGCUGGCGGCGUGCCUAACACAUGCAAGUCGAGCGAUGAAGUCCUUCGGGGUGGAUUAGCGGCGGACGGGUGAGUAACACGUGGGUAACCUGCCUUAUAGAGGGGGAUAAGCCUUCCGAAAGGAAGAUUAAUACCGCAUGAAAUGUUUUUAUCGCAUGGUAGAAACAUCAAAAGGAGUAAGUCCGCGUAUAAGAUGGACCCCGCGGCGCAUUAGCUAGUUUGGUGAGGUAAACGGCCCACCAAGGCGACGAUGCGUAGCCGACCUGAGAGGGUGAUCGGCCACAUUGGAACUGAGACACGGUCCAGACUCCUACGGGAGGCAGCAGUGGGGAAUAUUGCGCAAUGGGGGAAACCCUGACGCCAGCAACGCCGCGUGAAUGAAGAAGGCCUUAGGGUUGUAAAGUUCUGUUUUCUGGGACGAUAAUGACGGUACCAGAGGAGGAAGCCACGGCUAACUACGUGCCAGCAGCAGC